rnacentral:rRNA from 1 species
AUCCCACGCCAUGUCUCGAAAAAAACACUCAACGCCCGAUCGAUCCAGAUUCCCAAUCCCAUCUCCACUCCCACCUCCUCUCCUCCCCUCCCCUCCCAAGUCCCAACCCGCCAUGAAGGGGAGCCGCCGGCGCAGGCCCCACCCCCCAGCGCCACCGCCGCCUCCGGCUCUAGCGGUGGCGGGGAGAAGGGCGCCCCGUGCCAGGAGUGCGGGGAGCAGCCGUGGAAGUACCGGUGCCUGGGCUGCUCCCGCCUCACCUCCAGCCUCCCCAGCAUGCAGGCCCACAAGCGCCGCAUCGCCUGCUCCGGCAAGCGCCCCUGCACCAUCCCCGUCCCGCUCGCCCAGUUCGACGACAACCAGCUCCUCUCUGAUUACAACUUGCUGGAGGAGACGAGCAUGGUCAGGGAGUCGGUCCACAGGCUGCUCGGCGGCUUCGGCCGCAACUUCGGCUGCGGCUUCGAGAAACGCCAUGGCGCCCAGCUGCCGCCGUGGCUCACCUUCCUCCACAAGGCCGCGGAGCACCGGGGCGUCCAGCUGGCCAUCCAAACCUGA